rnacentral:lncRNA from 1 species
UGUGACGGAAAAAGGGUGGGAAGAACAGGGAAGAGGAAGCAGAAACAGCUUCGAUUCCUCACAAGCUCGGGCAUACCACGAGGCUUGGAGACUCAAAACCUGAAGAGCCUGCAAUCAGAUUUCUCCCUUACUAUUCCUGCUCAUUGUCUUCUGUGGACUAAUACUGAACAUGAAACUUCAGAUGGUUUCCAGAGUUAGUUCCUUACAAGCAUUUCCUCUUGAAACAUUGGGAAUCUAAAUAAAGGAGAAAGGUGUCUAACAGUCUAAUCUACCAACUUCACUAUGCUGAUUUGUGAAAGAAUUGCUCAAACCCAGUGAAUAAUAGCAUUUGCCCUUCUUUCUCAAAAAAGCAGCAUUUGCUUUCUUCUGGCAAGGAAUAAUUAAGCUAAUUUCUCCAUGAACCUUGGAAAAAGUGGCAACGAAUAAUGGAUUUGUCCUUCAAAGAACAUUUCAAGCAAACAUCUUAUCAGCUACAAAUUCAUUUGAAGCAGUUCCAGGUCAGCCAUAGGCGAUUUUUCUCAUUAAAAUACUGUUUAAACUGUUGUAUCCAGAUGACACAGGAGACAUAUCAGACAAACAACACCUGCAAGAAGAAUUGGUGACGUAUUGAUUUUUCAUCAAUCAAAAAGUUUACUAAGCAGAUGAAAAUAAUUUGCCUUCACAGUGACAUUUUCCUGAUGUCUUGCUAGUACUUAAAGGCAUUGUUUUUUCUUUAACACCCAAACUUUAAUUACCAGAAAAGGUUAGCAUCAAAACAAAGGACAUGUUGGUAAUUUAGAGGCGGCACUCCUUGAUGAAAUAAGUAAGAAAGCUUGUCAA